CACGCUGGCGGCAUGCCUAACACAUGCAAGUCGAACGAGACCUUCGGGUCUAGUGGCGCACGGGUGCGUAACGCGUGGGAACCUGCCUUUAGGUUCGGAAUAACUCAGAGAAAUUUGAGCUAAUACCGGAUAAUGUCUUCGGACCAAAGAUUUAUCGCCUUUAGAUGGGCCCGCGUUGGAUUAGCUAGUUGGUGGGUAAAGGCCUACCAAGGCGACGAUCCAUAGCUGGUCUGAGAGGAUGAUCAGCCACACUGGGACUGAGACACGGCCCAGACUCCUACGGGAGGCAGCAGUGGGGAAUAUUGGACAAUGGGCGAAAGCCUGAUCCAGCAAUGCCGCGUGAGUGAUGAAGGCCUUAGGGUUGUAAAGCUCUUUUACCCGAGAUGAUAAUGACUGUAUCGGGAGAAUAAGCUCCGGCUAACUCCGUG
rnacentral:rRNA from 1 species